rnacentral:rRNA from 1 species
GACGAACGCUGGCGGCGUGCUUAACACAUGCAAGUCGAACGGAAAGGCCCUGUCUUGGUUACGCGCUCGACUGACGAACGGGUGACAAAUACGCGAGUUACCCUCCCCUGACUGAGAGAUAACUUAAGCAAACUGGGGUUAAUACCGGGACUGCCCCACUGCUGUGUGGUGGGGGAUGGCAAGCUGGGGGGGUGGGGGAUGGUCUCGCGGUAUAUCAGCUUGUUGGUGGGGUUGUGGCUUACCAAGGCUUAGACGGGUAGCCGGCCUGAGAGGGUGACCGGCCACACUGGGACUGAGAUACGGCCCAGACUCCUACGGGAGGCAGCAGUGGGGAAUAUUGGACAAUGGGCGGAAGCCUGAUGCAGCAACGCCGCGUGCGGGAUGACGGCCUUCGGGUUGUAAACCGCUUUCGCCUGUGACGAAGCGUGAGUGACGGUAGUGGGUAAAGAAGCACCGGCUAACUACGUG